rnacentral:piRNA from 1 species
UGUGGUGUUGCUGUUGGAUCAUGUUCA